UACGUAGGGGGCAAGCGUUGUCCGGAUUUAUUGGGCGUAAAGAGCGUGUAGGCGGCCGUACAGGUCAGCUGUGAAAACUCGAGGCUCAACCUCGAGACGUCGGUUGAAACCGUACGGCUAGAGUCCGGGAGAGGUGAGUGGAACUGCGAGUGUAGAGGUGAAAUUCGUAGAUAUUCGCAAGAACACCAGUGGCGAAGGCGGCUCACUGGCCCGGUACUGACGCUGAGGUGCGAAAGCGUGGGGAGCAAACAGG
rnacentral:rRNA from 1 species